rnacentral:rRNA from 1 species
AGAGUUUGAUUAUGGCUCAGGAUGAACGCUAGCUACAGGCUUAACACAUGCAAGUCGAGGGGCAGCAUUGGAGUAGCAAUACUCAGAUGGCGACCGGCGCACGGGUGAGUAACACGUAUCCAACCUGCCGCUUACUCGGGGAUAGCCUUUCGAAAGAAAGAUUAAUACCCGAUGGUAUAAAGAGUUCGCAUGUUCUCUUUAUUAAAGAAUUUCGGUAAGCGAUGGGGAUGCGUUCCAUUAGAUUGUUGGCGGGUAACGGCCCACCAAGUCUACGAUGGAUAGGGGUUCUGAGAGGAAGGUCCCCCACAUUGGAACUGAGACACGGUCCAAACUCCUACGGGAGGCAGCAGUGAGGAAUAUUGGUCAAUGGACGCGAGUCUGAACCAGCCAAAAGUAGCGUGAAGGAUGACUGCCCUAUGGGUUGUAAACUUCUUUUAUAAGGGAAUAAAGUGAGGGACGUGUCCCUUUUUGUAUGUACCUUAUGAAUAAGGAUCGGCUAACUCCGUGCCAGCCGCGGC